rnacentral:lncRNA from 1 species
UUUUGACUUGUUAACUACUGGAACUCGAUCCUCAUGUAAUACAGAAAAAGUGUAACAGUGAUACCAACGACCUUAGUAAAGUGCAAGCUGUGAAUAGCCCUGGAGAAGUUGAGCAGCCUGAAAAGAGAAAACUGUUGGUAUGCCAGCUGCUUACUUCCAAUGCAGCUAACAGCUACAGAAACACUGGAGCAAGGCAUACAGUUUACAUUAAAACUCAGGGAGGAAGAAGGCUGACUUACUUGAAGGAGAGGAGAAAACAGCAUCAGCUGAAGGAUCUGGGGACUGUCCGCCACCUCUUCUGCCAGAUGGGUGAAAGCUGUGUCCUUCCUGCAGUGGCUCCACACUGCUGGGUUCUCGCCCUUAAAGCACUAAUUAUGAGGGAGAAAUGUAGCUGUAUACAAUCAAUUCCCUAUUAAACAUCCUCUCCUGUUAUUUAAUGUUGAACUGAUGCAGAGCUUAAUGACUCAUUGCUUUCAGACAAAUAAUAAAUAUACCACACAGAGGCAUUUCAGAGGCACUGGGACUCCUCCUGAAUUUGAAUGGAAUCUAACAAAUAGAUCCAGAUGAAACAAUGCAGAGAAAGAAAAAUGAAAUGUCAAAACACUUCAUUUUAGUAUUUUCAAAAUGGAGCAUUUAAUUCUAGAACUGCCAAAACACUUCAAUUUCAAAACAAAGACUUUUAGCUGUCCAUUUUAAAUUUGGCCUAGAUUUAAAAAGAAAAAAGCUUUAAAAUGUGUGAAAUGGCCCAAGACCAAAAAUAAAGCUGUUCUUUGAAGCUGAACAAAAAAGAUACUUUUCCUGAUGAUAAUUAUUUUUUGUU